CCUACGGGUGGCAGCAGUGGGGAAUAUUGCACAAUGGGGGAAACCCUGAUGCAGCGACGCCGCGUGAGUGAGGAAGUAUUUCGGUAUGUAAAGCUCUAUCAGCACGGAAGAAAACGACGGUACCUGACUAAGAAGCACCGGCUAACUACGUGCCAGCAGCCGCGGUAAUACGUAGGAGGCCAGCGUUAUCCGGAUUUACUGGGUGUAAAGGGAGCGUAGACGGCUUAUCAAGUCAGAAGUGAAAUGCCAGGGCUCAACUUUGGAACUGCUUUUGAAACUGAGGAGCUAGAGUGCAGGAGAGGUAGGCGGAAUUCCUGGUGUAGCGGUGAAAUGCGUAGAGAUUAGGAGGAACACCAGUGGCGAAGGCAGCUUACUAGACUAUAACUGACGUUGAGGCACGAAAGCGUGGGGAGCAAACAGGAUUAGAUACCCGAGUAGUC
rnacentral:rRNA from 1 species